CAGAUUUUGGAGUGCCAAAGACCAUCAUUCUGGAUCUGUGAGAUGGCUUGAGCCUUGUGACAGCAUGUUUUCAGUUCACAUCUGAUGAACUGUCACCGAGAUUUAUGGCUUUUUUUCAGUAGAAUCCAAAUGGAUCCAAAAAUCAUAACUCAGAGACAGAUGUCAUUGGAGAUCGCUGGAGCAGAUCGGCAAGAAAGGAUCCUGAAAUUUUUGUCACUGUUUGAUGAAGGACAAAAAAGUGCCAUUCCCACAGCAGAUCCUAAAGUCAGUGGAAUCAGAGCUUACGCCAAGACACAUGGAAAGAAAGUUGAAACGGAAAGUGUAAAUGAAGGUCCAUCUGAUACUCCUGAACUGAGCAAGGACCUCCUGGAAAUAAGUCCUUUACAUGGGAAGAACUUCUGGAAGCCUUCACUGCCAACCUCCUGGAAAAUUAAGAGAGGUGAGACUUAAAGAGUGAUGCUGUACCUUGUCUAGCUAGUUACUGGGUCUCUUUGGACCAUGGCUAGUGUUGUAGA
rnacentral:lncRNA from 1 species